rnacentral:rRNA from 1 species
UACGGGGGGGGCAAGCGUUGUUCGGAAUUACUGGGCGUAAAGCGCGCGUAGGCGGCUUUUCAAGUCGAGUGUGAAAGCCCCAGGCUUAACCUGGGAAUUGCGCUCGAUACUGUUGAGCUAGAGUGUGGAAGGGGCUACUGGAAUUCCGGUGCGUAGCGGUGAAAUGCGUAGAUAUACGGAGGAACACCAGCGGCGAAGGCGGGUAGCUGGGCCAACACUGACGCUGAUGCGCGAAAGCUAGGGGAGCAAACGGG